GGUUGUGUGGUGUAGUGGUAUCACUCUGUAAGCUGAAUUGCUUCAUCAGCAGUACCUUCCGGCGACCCCGGUUCGAUUCCGGGCACGACCG